AGAGUGACUUCUUACUUGGUGUAAGUCGUUCUCUAUCUCUCAACUUCUUCCAAUUUUAAUUGAUAGAAAAUAGCUCAAAGGUAGAGCGUCUCGAGUAAUCGAGAAGGUUUUUGGUUCGACUCCAUUAUUUUCAACCAUACCCAUAAGGGUAAAGUUCAUUGACAUAUUGAGAGAGGAUACACGAUAGUAGAAAAAAUUUCG
rnacentral:misc_RNA from 1 species